GAUGAAGAACGUAGCGAAAUGCGAUAAGUAGUGUGAAUUGCAGAAUUCAGUGAAUCAUCGAAUCUUUGAACGCACAUUGCGCCCCUUGGUAUCCCGAGGGACAUGCCUGUUCGAGCGUCAUUUCACCACUCAAGCCUGGCUUGGUGUUGGGCGACGUCCUCUUUGGGGACGCGCCUCGAAACGCUCGGCGGCGUGGCACCGGCUUUAAGCGUAGCAGAAUCUUUCGCUUUGGAAGUCGGGGCCCCGUCUGCCGGAAGACCUGCUCGCAAGGUUGACCUCGGAUCAGGCAGGGAUACCCGCUGAACUUAAGCAUAUCAAUAAGCGGAGGA
rnacentral:misc_RNA from 1 species